UGUGAAUUGUCAUAACAAUCAUACAUACCUACCACAACUUUACUCUUUUCUCUCUUCUCUUUCUUCUAGAAUCGUCAUCUUCUCACCGGAUUUUCAACAUUGAAUCAAGAUCAAAGAUCCGCCUAUAUAUCUUGAAGAUCAGACCAUAAAUCUUGAAGUUUUCUAUUUGCAAUUGAGGUUUUGUUUUGAUCAAAGUUGGGUUAUGCAAGGUAAAUGAGGGAUAUCUACAAAUUUUGAUGGUACACGACUUUUCAUUUAACGACAAUUUUGAUCAGAUACUGACAUUUAAGGAAAAAAUCUUAAUACAAUGUUGGGUAGAAGAUGCUGGAGAAUGAACUUAAGCGUAAUUUGGAUGCCGUUUAUGAUGUGGAUUUAUGUUCUUCUCAGUCUUCCACUAAACCGCGUAUGGGUGAUUGUGAGAACAAUGAAGAUCCGCCUAUAUAUCUUGAAGAUCAGACCAUAAAUCUUGAAGGUAUGUUGUUUUACUCGGUUGUUUAUGUAGUAUACAUCUUUAAUCUAAGAGAUUGAACAUGUUUAUUUUUUUCUUAAACCAAAAUCUACAUCAGAUGUUUUUUGUUGAUUUUUGUUAUGUAUAAAAUCAAGUUUUCGGGUUUUUCUUAAUCAUCUAUUCCACAUUUAUCGCAGUUAAUGAUUUUGGUUGUUGUAUUUUUUCAUGUGAUUCCUUACAUCCGUUAUAACAAUAUGAAUCCCACCAUUCGUCAAGCAACAGAGGUGAAGAGCUUCUUUUAGACUCCUUCCCCUACAAGGAACUAUUGAAUGGGUUCCUAUGAGAAGUUGAAGGAAAGUUAUGGAUAAUGAAAACAAUGCUCCUUCGUUAUUAAAGUCGAUUGAGGACUAUGAUCCUAUAUUUUUCGAAUUGUUCGUCGACCAAAAACAGUUAUGGAUCAUGAAAACAACGCUCCUUCGUUGUUAAAGUUGAUUGGGGACUAUGAUCCUAUAUUUUUGGAAAUACCAUAUGAUUUUGCAACCUUAUUGUGGGGAGAACAACUUCCAUAUGUCAAUGUCUUAAAAUUAUUGAUGAUGAUUUAUCUUAUGGAUCCUAAAAACAACUCUCAUUCGUUGUUAAAGUUUAUUGAGUAAUAUGAUCCUAUAUUUUUGGUGUUUAUUUUGGAUGGUCCGGAGUUUUUGGCUGCAACUAUGUUGGACAGAGAUAUGCUUGCUAUUGCUAUAAAUUGGUACCAUGGUUGGUUUUGAUUCGUAAGAUUUGUGACGAUGCGUCGGACAAACAACAUUGGGAAAAUAUACAGCCUUGAUCCUUGGUAUUUGAUUGUGCAUUGUAUCGCUGAUUGAUGUAUGAGAUUUUGUUGAUUGGCAUAAGGUAUUAGAUAAGAUGUGUUUGAAGUUGUGAAGAUGAAUAAGUGAGACAUGUGUAGCAGAUAUUAGUGAGUGCACAACACAUUAGUUAGGGUUUUGAAUUAUUGCUACAGGUUAGUGAUGUUAGAGAUUGUGUUAUGAGAAAUGUGUAGAUUGAAUUAUGUCUGUGUUUGAUUGCGACACCUUUGAUUGUGUAUGAAAUUGCUGGUUAUAUGAGAUUUU